rnacentral:tRNA from 1 species
UGCCCGAUAGUGUAAUUGGCAACACGUCUGUCUCUGGAUCAGAAGAGUUUAGGUUCGACCCCUAAUCGGGCAA